rnacentral:snRNA from 1 species
GGAUGUGAGGGUGAUCUGGCUGUGACAUCUGUCACCCCAUUGAUCACCAGGGUUGAUUCGGCUGAUCUGGCUGGCUAGGUGGGUGUUCCCUUCCUCCCUCAUGGCUCCAUGUGUAUCCCUCCCGAAGCUGCGCACUCAGUCGAAGAGGACGGCCUUCCCCAAUAGAGACAGACUUGUCUUUGGUCAAGGAUAUAUGAGUAGCUGCGCUCCCCUGCUAGAACCUCCACACAAGCUCUCAAGGUCCAAAGAGGUCUUCUAAAUAAACAUUACUCAACAUUCAGUGAAAUUCCUUUUUUUCAAUUUAUUUAU